GUGAAUCAGAUAUUGAUUUAAAGGUAAUGUUUUUUUAACAGACCUUUUUCAUUCAUCAUCUUCUUCGUUGCUUCUUCUCUUCUCUCCAUCCAACAGAAAAUUUCCAGAAAAUUUAAAUUUUUUAUAUCAAUCCAUUCUAAUUUAAAAACAUCUAUUGAUUUAAGAAAACUAAACCCUAAGAUACUAUAUAUGGAACCCAAACAAAAAUAAUUAAACUAAAUGAAAUCAUCUCAAGUUUCAGUUUUUAGAAAUCUGACAAAAUCAUGUUUAUAUACUUUUAAUCUCUUUUCUCCUUUCCUAAAGCGAAUUGAAAUCGAUUCGAUUUUGGGUUUAAAUUUGUGUUAAGGAUUUUCAAUUUUAUAUAUUGAUCAAACCAGAAAAUAUUCAAUAAGAUCUUGUGAGUCUUCGUUUUCAUUUUUUUUUUGUUCUAACUAGCAAAUAGAAUGGUACAAAAUUGAAAGUAAAAUAGAAAACUAUAGUUCGGUUCUGUUUUAAUUAAGUUAAAGUAGAAAAAAAAGAUGAGAGGCGAGAGAGGUGAAACAAGCAAUGGAAGAGAGGAAGAAGUGAUUAAGGUGGUGGUGGUGUGUAUGGUGUAGGUCGUAGUAAUAUUUGUGUUGGUGGUUGCAGUGGUCGUGUGUCAAUUGCGGCGGCAAUAAUGGUGAUGAUGGUAGAGAUGACAGCGUAAUGGUAGUUUCUAUGGUGGUGACGAUUGCAGUGGUGAUGGUGAUGAUGGUAUGACAUUUGUGGAAAUAGUGGUGGAUGCAAUGAUGAUGACGGUUACAAGGGUAAUGGUUGUAAUAGCAUAGAAGAGAUGGUGAUUGUAUAGUUAAGG
rnacentral:lncRNA from 1 species